rnacentral:lncRNA from 1 species
CGAGGGUUCGCGUGAGCGGAGCACGGGGCUCGGGGUGCGGGGGGCUGGUGUGAUGGACGCAUUUGUUCUUCGGUCCCUGACGAUUGUUUCUCAUUUGCCCUCCAAGCCCCAAAUCCUGUCAGUCCACGGCCUUGAUGGAGCGGCCCCCGUGGGACGACCCUGUUGAUUGUGCUAGCGGAUGUUGUCUCCAUUCUGGAUCUGGGAAAAACUGUGGAGUGAAAGCCGGACCUGUUAGGGUUGGGACCUGAAAGCGGACUUUUUCGCUCUCAGACGGGCCCCAGGAAUUUCAUGUUUAACAGAGGUGUCUUCAAGGAGAUGAAACAAUUCAGAAUGACCUAGGCAAUGGGGUAAUUCCUAAGGAACAAGCUAUUCAUUCAUACAGCAUGGACGAAUAUUAAAUGCAUGUUGCUGAGUGAAAGAAGCCAGAAUGAUAAGGCUACAUCCUGGAAAAGUUUAUAUUCUGGAAAAGGCAAAACUUAUAGAGACAGAAACAAAUCAGCCAGUUGUUGCUGGGGUUUGGGAGAGAAGAAUGUUGACUAUGUGAAGAACAAGGGAUCUUGGGGGGCAUCUAUUCCAUAUGCUACUGUAGGGGUGGAUGCAUGAUACUAUCAUUUGUGGAAAACCAUAGAACUUUACAAAACUAACAGUGAACCUUAAUGUCUGCAAAAUUUUACAAAAUCAACUAGGAGGCUGGGGGAUCCCAGGAUGAAAUACAGGCAAUGACAAAAGAGCCUAACUCUAUUACACAUUUAUAACAUAACCGCACCGAAGAGGACUGGUAUUCUAUAACUGUGGAAAUAAUGGAAACUGGAAAACUGAAGACAAAAGGAACUGUACUUAGCACUAUACUCUAGUUGGUAAAGGCGUUUCUCAAGGGGUACCAGUUAACAAUUCUGAGACUGCUGUACAUGUAUGCAGAGACUGAACAAAUAAGUAAAUGGCUGGUACAUGCUCACUCUCAGGGAGGGAGGCCACAGAUAAACAAGAGGAAGAGGCUCUAAUGUCAUGUGUGGUUGUGGAUUAGAACCAGAAACAUAAAUAUGAACUCAUGUUUAGAUUAAUAUAGAUAUUAAUGGAUUGAUAUAGAAAUAAUGAUGAUAUGGGUAUAUAUACAGGUUAGUAUACAGUCAUAUAUUUCUUAUCCCUAUCCACUGAGAGGGCCUAGAAACAACAAUACUCCAGUAGCAACACACACAUCUCGUGCCCAUAUCUUGAUUUCUUUUGCCAUUUCCUAACAAAAGGAGCCAGGACUUCUUGGAGAAAUGGCUGAUUCUAAGACUGGGUCAGAGAGUAUACCAGAUGACGCUGGCACAUCUUCUACUGCUAGAAAGUAAGGAAAUGCUCAAAAAAUAAAACCACGGAGAUAUUUCAAAGGAACACAGAAGCCAAGUGGAACAGCUCCCAGUGGCCAAAGCUGGAAAAAUUGGGGCAAAAAAAAAAAAAAAAGUAUUAGGUUAUAAUCCAAAAUAUAAAAUAAAUAAUCACCAGCCCGUACUAAUGUGCAUAAAUUAUUGAAUAAAUAAGUAAAUGGGUGAAAAGAGAAAACUCUCUCCCAUACAAAGGAAGCCCAAAU